CCCGUCUUGAAACACGGACCAAGGAGUCUAACAUGUGCGCGAGUUUAAAAGUUUUAUGAAACUUAAAGGCGAAAUAAAAGUAAAAGCCAUUUUACUAUGGCCGAAAUACGAUCCUGGGCUCGAGAGAGUCCCGGGCGAAGUAUCGUCCCAUCUGAGCGGUUCGUCCGCUAGGCGGAGAAAGAGCGCAAAUGUUGGGACCCGAAAGAUGGUGAACUAUGCUUGAGCAGAACGAAGCCAGAGGAAACUCUGGUGGAGGUUCGUAGCGGUUCUGACGUGCAAAUCGAUCGUCAGACUUGAGUAUAGGGGCGAAAGACUAAUCGAACCAUCUAGUAGCUGGUUCCUUCC
rnacentral:rRNA from 1 species